rnacentral:sRNA from 1 species
ACGUGCUGCUUUACUUCUUGGGCGUUUCCUCCCUUAACUCGGGCCGCCGCAAGGCGGCCCUUUUUUCUGCACCGC